rnacentral:rRNA from 1 species
UACGUAGGGGGCAAGCGUUGUCCGGAAUUAUUGGGCGUAAAGAGCGUGUAGGCGGUCCGGUAAGUCAGCUGUGAAAGUCCAGGGCUCAACCCUUGAAAGCCGGUUGAUACUGUCGGGCUAGAGUCCGGAAGAGGCGGGUGGAAUUCCCGGUGUAGCGGUGAAAUGCGCAGAUAUCGGGAGGAACACCAAUGGCGAAGGCAGCUCGCUGGGCCGGUACUGACGCUGAGACGCGAAAGCGUGGGGAGCAAACAGG